rnacentral:rRNA from 1 species
UAGUCUCGCACAGAUGCAUAUCAAUAAGCGGAGGAAAAGAAACUAACUAGGAUUCCCCUAGUAACGGCGAGUGAAGCGGGAAGAGCUCAAAUUUGAAAUCUUAAAGGGUUUCCCUUUACGAAUUGUAGUUUAAAGAAGUGUUUUCUGUUGAGGUUUUGGUAAAAGUUCUUUGGAAUAGGACAUCAUAGAGGGUGAGAAUCCCGUAUUCGACCUUUACUUUCAACUUUGUGAUUACACUUUCAAAGAGUCGGAUUGUUUGGGAAUGCAGUCCAAAAUGGGUGGUAAAUUUCACUCUAAAGCUAAAUAUCGGCGAGAGACCGAUAGCGAACAAGUACCGUGAGGGAAAGAUGAAAAGAACUUUGAAAAGAGAGUUAAACAGUACGUGAAAUUGUCAAAAGGGAAGCGUUUGACACCAGUGUUGUUUUUCUGAAAAUCAAUUAAAGAACUGUUUAUGCUAAGCUGUUUAGACUUUAUCAGCUAACUGUCUAGUUUUGAGCUUUUCUUUAAUGCACUUUUCAGUUAACAAGUCAACAUCAAUUUCUUUUGCUGUAAAAAAGCUUGAGGAAGGUGGCUUGAGAUUCGUCUUAAGUGUUUAUAGCCUCUUGCCUAUGCAGUCGGAGAGAUUGAGGUCUGCAGCGUAGAUCCUUCGGGGCUAAAUGCAUUUGUGCUAAGUUAUAGCAUUUUAUAGACAACUUGUUGACUAUGAUUUGUCUUGUAGCUUACUCGCUUAUGUUAUUUUACCUACGCUUAGGAUGUUGAAGACUCUACAGAGAUA